AUUAAAGAAAUGGCAUCUUUGAUAAAUGAUGUUAAAUUUUGUUGUGUUAAGCGAUCUACGAAUUGUGCCGCUCACUCUGUUGCUAGGGAGGCCUUUUCUGAGUCAAGUUGCGGGGAGUGGUUUGACUCUCCACCAUCUUUUCUU